UUUCCAGGCAAAUCCGGAAAAUCAAGGCUGAGGCGUGAUGACGAGGCACUACGGUGCUGAAGCAACAAAUGCCCUGCUUCCAGGAAAAGCCUCUAAGCAUCAGGUAACAUCAAAUCGUACCCCAAACCGACACAGGUGGUCAGGUAGAGAAUACCAAGGCGCUUGAGAGAACUCGGGUGAAGGAACUAGGCAAAAUGGUGCCGUAACUUCGGGAGAAGGCACGCUGAUAUGUAGGUGAAGCGACUUGCUCGUGGAGCUGAAAUCAGUCGAAGAUACCAGCUGGCUGCAACUGUUUAUUAAAAACACAGCACUGUGCAAACACGAAAGUGGACGUAUACGGUGUGACGCCUGCCCGGUGCCGGAAGGUUAAUUGAUGGGGUCAGCGCAAGCGAAGCUCUUGAUCGAAGCCCCGGUAAACGGCGGCCGUAACUAUAACGGUCCUAAGGUAGCGAAAUUCCUUGUCGGGUAAGUUCCGACCUGCACGAAUGGCGUAAUGAUGGCCAGGCUGUCUCCACCCGAGACUCAGUGAAAUUGAACUCGCUGUGAAGAUGCAGUGUACCCGCGGCAAGACGGAAAGACCCCGUGAACCUUUACUAUAGCUUGACACUGAACAUUGAGCCUUGAUGUGUAGGAUAGGUGGGAGGCUUUGAAGUGUGGACGCCAGUCUGCAUGGAGCCGACCUUGAAAUACCACCCUUUAAUGUUUGAUGUUCUAACGUUGACCCGUAAUCCGGGUUGCGGACAGUGUCUGGUGGGUAGUUUGACUGGGGCGGUCUCCUCCUAAAGAGUAACGGAGGAGCACGAAGGUUGGCUAAUCCUGGUCGGACAUCAGGAGGUUAGUGCAAUGGCAUAAGCCAGCUUGACUGCGAGCGUGACGGCGCGAGCAGGUGCGAAAGCAGGUCAUAGUGAUCCGGUGGUUCUGAAUGGAAGGGCCAUCGCUCAACGGAUAAAAGGUACUCCGGGGAUAACAGGCUGAUACCGCCCAAGAGUUCAUAUCGACGGCGGUGUUUGGCACCUCGAUGUCGGCUCAUCACAUCCUGGGGCUGAAGUAGGUCCCAAGGGUAUGGCUGUUCGCCAUUUAAAGUGGUACGCGAGCUGGGUUUAGAACGUCGUGAGACAGUUCGGUCCCUAUCUGCCGUGGGCGCUGGAGAACUGAGGGGGGCUGCUCCUAGUACGAGAGGACCGGAGUGGACGCAUCACUGGUGUUCGGGUUGUCAUGCCAAUGGCACUGCCCGGUAGCUAAAUGCGGAAGAGAUAAGUGCUGAAAGCAUCUAAGCACGAAACUUGCCCCGAGAUGAGUUCUCCCUGACUCCUUGAGAGUCCUGAAGGAACGUUGAAGACGACGACGUUGAUAGGCCGGGUGUGUAAGCGCAGCGAUGCGUUGAGCUAACCGGUACUAAUGAACCGUGAGG
rnacentral:rRNA from 1 species